CUGAGAGGGUGAACGGCCACAUUGGGACUGAGACACGGCCCAGACUCCUACGGGAGGCAGCCGUGGGGAAUAUUGCACAAUGGGGGAAACCAUGAUGCAGCGACGCCGCGUGAAGGAAGAAGUAUUUCGGUAUGUAAAACUCUAUCAGCAAGAAGAUAAUGACGUACCUGACUAAGAAGCUCCGGCUAAAUACGUGCCAGCUGCCGC
rnacentral:rRNA from 1 species